rnacentral:rRNA from 1 species
CCUACGGGAGGCAGCAGUGGGGAAUAUUGGGCAAUGGGCGCAAGCCUGACCCAGCAACGCCGCGUGAAGGAAGAAGGCUUUCGGGUUGUAAACUUCUUUUCUCAGGGACGAAGAAAGUGACGGUACCUGAGGAAUAAGCCACGGCUAAAGACGUGCCAGCAGCCGCGGUAAUACGUAGGUGGCAAGCGUUAUCCGGAUUUAUUGGGUGUAAAGGGCGUGUAGGCGGGAGCCCAAGGCAGAUGGGAAAACUCAGGGCUCAACCCUGAGCCUGCAUUUGAAACUGGGUUUCUUGAGUGAUUGAGAGGCAAUCGGAAUUUCGUGGGUAGCGGUGAAAUGCGGAGAUAGACGGAGGAACAGCAGUGGCGAAGGCGGAUUGCUGGACAGUAACGGACGCUGAGGCGCGAAAGCGUGGGGAGCAAACAGGAUUAGAUACCCCUGUAGUC